rnacentral:rRNA from 1 species
UUCCCCUAGUAACUGCGAGUGAAGCGGGAAAAGCUCAAAUUUGAAAUCUGGCAGCUCUUUGAACUGUCCGAGUUGUAAUCUAGAGAAGUGUUACCUGUGCUGGACCGUGUACAAGUCUCCUGGAAUGGAGCGUCACAGAGGGUGAGAAUCCCGUCUUUGACACGGACUGCCUGCAUGUUAUGGUGCGCUCUCAAAGAGUCGAGUUGUUUGGGAAUGCAGCUCAAAAUGGGUGGUAAAUGCCAUCUAAAGCUAAAUAUUGGCGAGAGACCGAUAGCGAACAAGUACCGUGAGGGAAAGAUGAAAAGAACUUUGGAAAGAGAGUUAAACAGUACGUGAAAUUGCUGAAAGGGAAACGCUUGAAGUCAGUCRCGUCGGCUAGAAAUCAACCUUGCUUUUGCUUGGUGUACUUUCUUGUUGAUGGGUCAGCAUCAAUUUUGACCGUUGGAUAAAGUCAUUGGGAAUGUGGCAUCUUAGGAUGUGUUAUAGCCCUUUGUCGCAUACAGCGGUUGGGAUUGAGGAACUCAGCACGCCCGCAAGGGACGGGUUUCGACCACGUAUCGUGCUUAGGAUGCUGGCAUAAUGGCUUUAAUCGACCCGUCUUGAAACACGGACCAAGGAGUCUAACAUGCCUGCGAGUGUUUGGGUGGAAAACCCAUGCGCGCAAUGAAAGUGAAAGUUGAGAUCCCCUCCAGGGGAGCAUUGACGCCCGGACCAGACCUUCUGUGACGGAUCCGCGGUAGAGCAUGUAUGUUGGGACCCGAAAGAUGGUGAACUAUGCCUGAAUAGGGUGAAGCCAGAGGAAACUCUGGUGGAGGCUCGUAGCGAUUCUGACGUGCAAAUCGAUCGUCAAAUUUGGGUAUAGGGGCGAAAGACU